GACGAACCGUGCGAACGUUAUUCGGAAUCACUGGGCUUAAAGCGCGUGUAGGCGGGAGGGCACGUCGGUCGCUGAAAUCCCCCGGCUUAACCGGGGAACUGGCGUCGAUACGACCGCCCUGGAGGGGCGUAGGGGGACCUGGAACUUCCGGUGGAGCGGUGAAAUGCGUUGAGAUCGGAAGGAACGCCCGUGGCGAAAGCGAGGUCCUGGACGCCUACUGACGCUGAGACGCGAAAGCCAGGGGAGCGAACGGG
rnacentral:rRNA from 1 species